CCACGAAUUAAGCGCAAGAUGACAGGAUGGCGAGAUUGCAACAACCGCAGGGCAAUCCAAUGUCGUAUACGCCAUAGGAUAUGGUCCCAUUCCCAACACUUCCUCCCAUAUUUUCCAUUCUCCAAAAUAAUAAAUCGAGAAAAUCAUAUAGAUUUAUAGAAUCAGAGAUAUCACUUGAAUCUAGUACGAUUACAAACACGUUUGUGUAUCGCAAAGGGAUGUCAUAAAUUGUAAUAAAUUGCAAAGUGAAUUAAAAAAAAAAUGAUAGUUACAAAUUACGCAAGAGUGUUUAAAUAAUUUUCUCUGAUUUACCCUAUUUUUUUACAUUUUUUCCACUCUUGUCUAUUUUCCAAUUUUGCAGUUGAAACCAAAGCGAGACAACAAUUGACGUUAAUGUGAAAAUUUCUGCAACGAUGAAAUUUUUCGCAGAUGGCAACAAUUUGAUGGCACUCCCUUCCGAGCGAAAAUUUGAUUUCAAACCCUGAUCAAAAUUUUAAAUAUACAUUUCUUUUGUUCGCGCUCGCGUUUCAAGCGUUUGUGAUUGAUGCAACUGCUACGUGAUUAAAUUCAUUAUCGAGGGAAAUAAAUUUUAAGAACGUUGAACGCGAAACUGUUUAACGAGUCGGUGAUUUCCAUCGAAAUCGCGAUUAAUCGAGUCGUUCGACGGUUUGGAAACGUUAAGUGUCUAGAGGCUCAGAGCUAGAAAUUGAUUUCUGCGUCGACGAACCGGAGACACGGAAUUUAGCGAAUAAGCUGCUCCACCGGAGAGAAAAAGGACGCAAUUUCGACUGUUCUUCUGUGACGCUGCGAAUCGAUUACUCGGAGAACAAGGCGCACUUUUCUUCCAACGAAAGGGUGAAGUCUCAGCAAAAGGAACGCGUGGAAUUUCAAUUUCCAAGGCCCACCCAUUGAUAAAUGCCCUCUCCAUUAAUUGUUUUGUUGAGUUUAACCCUUUAAACUUUACGCUACAUUAGCGAUUCAUUUAUUCUAGUCGUCAGGUUAGCGAUUUGUAUUGCCCUUUAACGUUUAAACCUUUGUAUGUAUGCAGUUUCUACUAAUUAGUACUAAAGUAGUAUUCUAGAUUCAUUGUCAAAAUAAAAUAAUUAUUAUUAUUAUUUGGAUCUUUUUUAUGGAUUAUAUCGUAUAACAAGAUUUUGAGAAUUUGAACUUUGAGAGAUAUUUAAAUUUUUGAGCUAUAUGUGUUAUUCGUUUGUUAGCUUUAUUGU
rnacentral:misc_RNA from 1 species